rnacentral:lncRNA from 1 species
GUUUUCAUAUUGUAAAAUGAAAUUUCCUGUUGCUCCGCAAUACUUCAAAAUAACUGUCAAUACAGAUAUAAAAAAUGAGUGCAAGAAAUUUUGGCUUCGUCAUCGCCCCCCGGACAAUCUGGAUAUCCGUUACACCAGUUUCUCUGAGGCAUACAGAUCGUGCUGUUCUCACAGAGAAACGUUCCCACGGGACACUCGUCUGCAAACAGAGAAAAUUCCAGAAGAAUGUAACAGUGGAACGAGUGAAUAACUGGAAUCAAUUGAGUGAUUCCACCCUUAAAAUCAUCUUUGGAAACAGAAAUCGAUAGAACAAUACGGUCUUAAGGUACGACACGGUAGCAUGUGUUUUGAUUGUUAACGGUGGAGCAUGCAGUUAUGCAAAUAACCGUGUGGUCCCAUGAGAAGUGCGAAUCGUACGAAACCGAUUGAAUUUCAGAGCAAGUCCAAAAUGAUGCUCCCGGAAAUAUCAAAUUAAAUGUGCCAAAGCAUCGUUACUCUCACAUUUGGAUUCUGAUCGUAAAUCGACCUUAAACGCCAGUGAAUCAUACUUUUUUAAGGAGUUUGGUUCAGCGCACAGAAAAAUAUAAAAAAUCCACUGAAAUUCACAGCCACGUUAAAUGGGCCACAGUUCAUUGAAAUUGGAAAAUAAAAAGAAGCAUAAUUAUGCAAAAAUGUAUUGUUUUUGAUUGAUAUUUCAACAGAUUAUUGAAAUAAUUAAAUCGCAUAUCGACGAAUAAUUAAAACACAAUGAUAGUUAAUGGUUAUAAUAUUCG